CCCGCCUUGGGGCCAUUGCAUGCAGGCAUGCAUGUCCGCACAUGGGAAUGACGAUGUAAUAUCGAUGUGGCAGAUAUGGCAAGUUCCGACUCGGAGUCCUCGUAUAAAAACAGUAGAAGUCUGGAUGUAUUCUAGGAUAGUUGAGCCACAUGGCUGAUUUGCUUGUUUGUUAUGUUAAGCAGUAGGCGAGUGCAUUUUAUUUAAGGCACUUGCCGGCUUAACACGAAACUAGAAUUUCAAUUUCAUUUCAUUUUCCCAGCGUGUUUGUCCCAUUGAAGACAUCAAAUCGCAUCGAAAUAAAAAAAAUCGCCAAAAAUCCAAAACCCGAGUGAUUACGAACGCGACCCGAGUGAUUUCGAACGCGAACGCGACCCGAGUGAUUAUAAUAAGCCCUUAUUUACAUGUCAUAGUUUUUUGUGUUAUGUGUAAUUCAUUCUGACAACAUGGUAACUUUAUUACGUGAAUAUACAUGCCCGAAAACAGUCAUGAUGUGGAAUAUAUAAAAGUGCGUGUGUUUGUUUUCACAACCAUUUUGAUUUCAUAUGAAAUUUUAUUUUGAUCGGGUGCCCAAUUCAUAUUUCCCUACAGUUACUCGGAGAUCAUGACUAGUGGUCAUUGUGACUAGUGGUCAUUAUGACAAAUGUUCAUUAUGACUAGUGGUCUUUAUUUUGACUAAUGAACAUUAAAACUAGUGAUCAUUUUUACUAGUGGUCAUUGUGAGUAUUGAGCUUGACCCGCUGAGAUUGUGUCGAAAUAUGUUUUUACUUGUAAUUCAUUGUGCCAACACAAACUUGUAAACAUGAAUUUUCCAGCUCCGGCAAUUUUUUUUAAAGUGACAUAGUUAUUAACAUGUUUGAUCAUCAAAAAAAAUUAAUUGAAUUGAAUUGAAAAAAGGGUAUUCAUUGAAUUCUGUAAUGAGAUGUGCAUUGUAUUUAUUGUAAUAUGCCACAAUCGCCCCCGGCGAACCAGAUGGCAGCAUCGUGUAAGAAUUUAGCAUAAAAUAGCAGUAUAGCGCCGAACCAAAUUGGUCAAAACCAUUCGUACUACGGACCAAUAGUUUUUGCGCAGCGGAUUAAAAGCUUAAAAGUAACAGAUAAAAAAGAGACCUGCGAUUCUCUUUCAUACAACCUUUUUGGUAUAUAAACCCCUUUGUAUUUUCCCCGAUUUAUUUGUAAUCCGACGCUGGCAUACAAGCUGAUAUCUUAGUCCAUGCGUAGAGCUGAAUUACUGUUGAGAAUUACCGUGUGUAGGAAAUUUUGUGUAUCACGAUUUAUGAUUUUCUUAUUAAACAUCUCAAGGUUGGGAGGUUGGGCAGAGUUACGACAGUAGAUCAGCAUGGUUGGUAGGUUGGAAAGACAUUGAUUUCUGCAUUAAGGCUGGGAGGUUGGGCAGAAUUUAGACAGUCAUCAUGGUUGGGAGGUUGGGCAGAAUUUAGACAGUCAUUCAUCAUGGUUGGGAGGUUGGGAGAGAUAUUGAAUUAU